rnacentral:rRNA from 1 species
CCUACGGGAGGCAGCAGUGAGGAAUAUUGGUCAAUGGACGAGAGUCUGAACCAGCCAAGUAGCGUGAAGGAUGACUGCCCUAUGGGUUGUAAACUUCUUUUAUAUGGGAAUAAAAUGUUCCACGUGUGGGAUUUUGUAUGUACCAUAUGAAUAAGGAACGGCUAACUCCGUGCCAGCAGCCGCGGUAAUACGGAGGAUCCGAGCGUUAUCCGGAUUUAUUGGGUGUAAAGGGAGCGUAGGUGGAUUGUUAAGUCAGUUGUGAAAGUUUGCGGCUCAACCGUAAAAUUGCAGUUGAAACUGGCAGUCUUGAGUACAGUAGAGGUGGGCGGAAUUCGUGGUGUAGCGGUGAAAUGCUUAGAUAUCACGAAGAACUCCGAUUGCGAAGGCAGUUCACUGGACUGCAACUGACACUGAGGCUCGAAAGUGUGGGUAUCAAACAGGAUUAGAUACCCUAGUAGUC